rnacentral:tRNA from 1 species
GCCAGCAUGGUAUAGUGGUUUGAGCAUUGGACUAUAACUCUGGAGACUAGGGUUCAAAUCCCUGUUCAGCCA